UCAGAUUGAACGCUGGCGGCAGGCCUAACACAUGCAAGUCGAGCGGUAACAUUUCUAAGCUUGCUUAGAAGAUGACGAGCGGCGGACGGGUGAGUAAUGCUUGGGGAUCUGCCUGAUGGCGGGGGACAACCACUGGAAACGGUGGCUAAUACCGCAUAAUACCUAUGGGUCAAAGUGUGGGACCUUCGGGCCACACGCCAUCAGAUGAACCCAAGUGAGAUUAGCUGGUUGGUAAGGUAACGGCUUACCAAGGCGACGAUCUCUAGCUGGUCUGAGAGGAUGAUCAGCCACACUGGGACUGAGACACGGCCCAGACUCCUACGGGAGGCAGCAGUGGGGAAUAUUGGACAAUGGGGGCAACCCUGAUCCAGCCAUGCCGCGUGUGUGAAGAAGGCCUUCGGGUUGUAAAGCACUUUCAGUGGUGAGGAAGGUGGUGUCGUUAAUAGCUUGCGAGAUUGACGUUAGCCACAGAAGAAGCACCGGCUAACUCCGUGCCAGCAGCCGCGGUAAUACGGAGGGUGCGAGCGUUAAUCGGAAUUACUGGGCGUAAAGCGCACGUAGGCGGUUUGUUAAGCAAGAUGUGAAAGCCCCGGGCUCAACCUGGGAAUUGCAUUUUGAACUGGCAGGCUAGAGUUUUGAAGAGGGUGGUAGAAUUU
rnacentral:rRNA from 1 species